rnacentral:rRNA from 1 species
GGAUGAACGCUGGCGGCGUGCCUAAUACAUGCAAGUCGAACGAGGUGCUUGAGUAGCAAUACAAGAGUAUCCUAGUGGCGAACGGGUGAGUAACGCGUGGGUGACCUACCCCAAAGUGUGGGAUAACAGUCCGAAAGGAUUGCUAAUACCGCAUGUGGUCUCCGGGUUUAGAAACCGGCGACUAAAGUAGCAAUGCGCUUUGGGAGGGACCUGCGUCCCAUCAGCUAGUUGGUGAGGUAACGGCUCACCAAGGCGACGACGGGUAGGGGACCUGAGAGGGUGACCCCCCACAAUGGAACUGAAACACGGUCCAUACACCUACGGGUGGCAGCAGUAGGGAAUAUUGCACAAUGGGCGAAAGCCUGAUGCAGCAACGCCGCGUGCGCGAUGAAGGCCUUCGGGUCGUAAAGCGCUUUUCUGAGAGAUGAGAAAGGACAGUAUCUCAGGAAUAAGUCUCGGCUAACUACGUGCCAGCAGCCGCGGUAAAACGUAGGAGGCGAGCGUUAUCCGGAUUCACUGGGCGUAAAGCGCGUGCAGGUGGCUUGGUAAGUUGGGCGUGAAAUCUCCCGGCUCAACUGGGAGAGGUCGUCCAAUACUACCAAGCUUGAGAGCAGAAGAGGAAGAUGGAAUUCCCGGUGUAGUGGUGAAAUGCGUAGAUAUCGGGAGGAACACCAGUGGCGAAGGCGGUCUUCUGGUCUGUUUCUGACACUCAGACGCGACAGCUAGGGUAGUAAACGGGAUUAGAGACCCCGGUAAUCCUAGCCGUAAACGAUGUGAACUUGGCGUUGGUGGGUUAAACUCCAUCAGUGGCGAAGCUAACGCGAUAAGUUCACCGCCUGGGGACUACGGCCGCAAGGUUAAAACUCAAAGGAAUUGACGG